GCAGUGGUAGUUCAGUGGCAGAAUUCUUGCCUUCCAUAUGGGAGAUCUGGGUUCAAUUCCUGGCCAAUGCA
rnacentral:tRNA from 1 species